UACGUAGGGUGCGAGCGUUAAUCGGAAUUACUGGGCGUAAAGCGUGCGCAGGCGGUUUUGUAAGCCAGAUGUGAAAUCCCCGGGCUUAACCUGGGAAUGGCAUUUGGGACUGCAAGGCUCGAGUGCGGCAGAGGAGACUGGAAUUCCUGGUGUAGCAGUGAAAUGCGUAGAUAUCAGGAGGAACACCGAUGGCGAAGGCAGGUCUCUGGGCUGACACUGACGCUCAUGCACGAAAGCGUGGGGAGCGAACGGG
rnacentral:rRNA from 1 species